rnacentral:rRNA from 1 species
UACAGAGGUCCCAAGCGUUGUUCGGAUUCACUGGGCGUAAAGGGUGCGUAGGCGGUUGGGUAAGUCUGACGUGAAAUCUCCGGGCCUAACCCGGAAACUGCGUUGGAUACUAUCCGGCUAGAGGAAUGGAGGGGAGACUGGAAUACUUGGUGUAGCAGUGAAAUGCGUAGAUAUCAAGUGGAACACCAGUGGCGAAGGCGAGUCUCUGGACAUUUCCUGACGCUGAGGCACGAAAGCCAGGGGAGCGAACGGG